rfam:Hammondia hammondi strain H.H.34 contig01158, whole genome shotgun sequence.
AAGACAUGAUGCUAUACAAUACUUGCUACUUUGGACGGUUGCCCUAGCGGCGCCAAUGACAGUCCUUUACCACCGAGAUCUCUGAUCUU